rnacentral:lncRNA from 1 species
CGCACCCUGGGGGCUGCGCACACGCGCACGGACACGGACACACGCGCCGACAUGGCGGGGACACGCGCGGCAGGGACCCCCGUGUCCGCACAACCCCCCCGAGGGUGUCACUUGCUCAUGCACCCCAGUGCCCCCAGUACCUGCCCCUUGCACACCCGCCCCGCGCACAUCCCGGUGCCCCCCCCUUGCACACGCACACACUGCACACCCUGGUACACGCGUGUUGCACCCACACGUGUGUGUUCACACGCACACGAAGCCCCCUGCACACCCGUGGCGUGCACCCACCACCUUGCACACACCCCUACACGCUCACGCAUCCCCUUGCACACGCACACACAAACCCUUGCACACACGUUUUCCGUGCCACACAUAGAUAUUGCACAUAGACACCCUCCUCGCAAAUUUACAUGCCCUUGCACACACACGCACCCUUGCACGCUCAGGCAGACCCGUUAUACACUGACACCUAAACCCCUCUAUAUUUGUGUGCAAACAAACGAAUCCCCGUGUUCACACACCUGUGCACACCUUAGGUACAGCAGACGUGCACACAGGUGCGGGUGCACACAUGCAGCUUGCACACACACCCUUGCACACACACCGACGUUCACAGAGGCACGCACCCCCGUUGCCCACACUCCACACAGUUCAUACACACUGCCUUGCACACUCACCUUUACACAUACACAGCCCUUACACACACCACCCCACCUUCAAACACACAGUCCUCGCACACCCCUGCUAUACAUCCCUUACACACUCACAGACCCCCUUGUACGCAUCCUCACCCUGACACACCCCUUGUACACUCACAGCCCCCCUUGUUUUCACACAUGCACACCCCCCUUGCGGAUGCCCCCACAUUUCCACGUGCCCUCAUGCCCAGCUUGGCACAGGGCACCCCCUCACUACGGCCCCCGCAACUCGGACCCCCACGAGUGAGCGUGGCACCGGCCCUGCCGUCCCCCCGUGGCAGAACCUCCCCGUGCCCCCCUUCC